AUUUCAUAUAAAAUGAAAUAUACUUUAAUCACAAGAUUCAAAAUAAAUGUUUACUCCAAAGUCAAGAACACGUGCAUCAUAAAUUUUUCUAUAUGAAAACGAAAACAUUUCAAUAAAACACACACACACAAACAGCAGCAUUAUUUUAAAAGUAACAAUCAAAAUGUACA